AGCCCUGGCUUGUGAUUGUCCAAACGCAAUUCUUGUCUCUCCACCGAGAGUUGAGUCUGGACAUCAAGAGCCGGGGUUG
ensembl:miRNA